rnacentral:rRNA from 1 species
GAUGAACGCUGGCGGCGUGCCUAAUACAUGCAAGUCGAGCGAACGGACGAGAAGCUUGCUUCUCUGAUGUUAGCGGCGGACGGGUGAGUAACACGUGGAUAACCUACCUAUAAGACUGGGAUAACUUCGGGAAACCGGAGCUAAUACCGGAUAAUAUUUUGAACCGCAUGGUUCAAAAGUGAAAGACGGUCUUGCUGUCACUUAUAGAUGGAUCCGCGCUGCAUUAGCUAGUUGGUAAGGUAACGGCUUACCAAGGCAACGAUGCAUAGCCGACCUGAGAGGGUGAUCGGCCACACUGGAACUGAGACACGGUCCAGACUCCUACGGGAGGCAGCAGUAGGGAAUCUGCCGCAAUGGGCGAAAGCCUGACGGAGCAACGCCGCGUGAGUGAUGAAGGUCUUCGGAUCGUAAAACUCUGUUAUUAGGGAAGAACAUAUGUGUAAGUAACUGUGCACAUCUUGACGGUACCUAAUCAGAAAGCCACGGCUAACUACGUG